CAAGCUUGGUCUGUUGUGAGUU
rnacentral:misc_RNA from 1 species